rnacentral:rRNA from 1 species
GAAAGUAAUGAAGGGCGUACGGUGGAUGCCUAGGCUCUUACAGGCGAUGAAGGACGUGAUAAGCUGCGAAAAGCCGCGGUGAGGCGCAAAUGGCCCUUGACCCGCGGAUCUCCGAAUGGGACAACCCAAUAUCUUGAAGAGAUAUUAUCCCGCCGGUGCGGGAGGCGAACGCGGGGAACUGAAACAUCUUAGUACCCGCAGGAAAAGAAAAUAAAGAAUGAUUCCCCCAGUAGUGGCGAGCGACCGGGGAAGAGCCCAAACCGACGUUGUCUCGGCAUCGUCGGGGUUGUAGGACCGCGCCAUCGCAAGAAAGGCCGUGAGUGGAAGCGACUGGAAAGCCGCGCCAUAGAGGGUGACAGCCCCUUACACGAAGCAGCCCGAAGCGUAGCGGACUCCUGAGUAGCGCGGGACACGAGUAAUCCUGUGUGAAUCCGCCGGGCCCAUCCGGCAAGGCUAAAUACUCGUAAGAGACCGAUAGUGAACCAGUACCGUGAGGGAAAGGUGAAAAGGACCCCUUGCAGGGGAGUGAAAGAGUUCCUGAAACCGUACGCCUACAAGCGGUCGGAGCAUCUUGAAUGAUGUGACGGCGUGCCUUUUGCAUAAUGAACCUACGAGUUGCCGUCACCAGCGAGGUUAAGUGCGAUGACGCACCGAGCCGCAGCGGAAGCGAGUCUUAAAAGGGCGCGAUAGUUGGUGGAGGCAGACGCGAAACCGAGUGAUCUACACUUGUCCAGGAUGAAGUCCCGGUAACACGGGAUGGAGGUCCGCACCAAUAAGCGUUGAAAAGCUUCUGGAUGAGGUGAGUGUAGGAGUGAAAGGCCAAUCAAACUCGGAGAUAGCUCGUACUCCCCGAAAGGCAUUUAGGUGCCGCCUGUGGCGUUCCCGACGUGAGGUAGAGCGACUGAUAGGAUGCGAGGGCUUCACCGCCUAUCAAGUCCUGACAAACUCCGAAUGCACGUCGGCCAAGCCAUGGAGUAAGGGCAUGGGUGCUAAGGUCCGUGCCCGAGAGGAGAAGAAUCCAGACCACCGGCUAAGGUCCCGAAAUACUGGUUAAGUUAGACUAACGCAGUCCGGCCCCCAAGACAGCUAGGAUGUUGGCUUGGAAGCAGCCAUUCAUUCAAAGAGUGCGUAACAGCUCACUAGUCGAGGAGCUGGGCGUGGAUAAUAAUCGGGUAUGAAACCAGUUACCGAAGCCGUGGGAUGCUUAAGCAUCGGUAGGGGAGCAUUGCAUGCGGCUUAGAAGGCGGGGCGCGAGCCCCUCUGGAGCGCAUGGAAACGCAAAUGUAGGUAUAAGUAACGACAAGGGGGGUGGGAUGCCCCCCCGCCGAAAGACCAAGGUUUCCUGAACAACGCUAAUCGGUUCAGGGUCAGUCGGGUCCUAAGCAUAAGCCGUAUGGCGAGGGCGAUGGACGAAACGGUUAAUAUUCCGUUACUGUCUUGGUGUGUGACGCGGCGACGGAGUAGUGACACGGCCGCCUCCUGACGGAAAAGGGGGUUGAAGCGCAAAGGUGUCGAGGAAGGCAGGCAAAUCCACCUUCCGAGCCGAAGCGCGAAAGUACGCCGGGCCCUUUGGGGCAAGGCGAUAGUGCCGGUAAUCAGACUUCCAAGAAAACCCGCUAAACUUCAGCACCAAGUCACCCGUACUCUAAACGGACACACGUGGUCGGGUAGAAUAUACUAAGGCGCUUGGGAGAUUCACGGUUAAGGAACUAGGCAAAUUGACCCCGUACCUUCGGAAUAAGGGGUCCUCGCUUUUGCGAGGCGCAGAGAAUAGGUCCAGGCAACUGUUUAACAAAAACACAGGGCUGUGCAAAUUUGAAAGAAGAAGUAUACAGCCUGACACCUGCCCGGUGCCGGAAGGUUAAGAGGAGAGCUCAUCAGCGAUGAGAAGGCUUGAAUUGAAGCCCCGGUAAACGGCGGCCGUAACUAUAACGGUCCUAAGGUAGCGAAAUUCCUUGUCGGGUAAGUUC